GUGCGAGACCGAUAGCGAACAAGUACCGUGAGGGAAAGAUGAAAAGAACUUUGAAAAGAGAGUUAAAGAGUACCUGAAACUGCUGAAAGGGAACCGAAUCGUUUCCAGUGUCUAUAAUCUGCGGCAUAUUUCAUUGGCGAGUAGAUGUGUGUGGCGUUUUGUAAGUGGUUUAUUCUGCUGCUGGCGUUGCUUUGCGUUUGCUUGUUGGUGCCCUGUGCUGUAGUGGGACGUCAGAGUCAGUUCGUAUACUGCGGGAAAUGGUUGCUGGGGAGGUAGGUCGCUUCGGUGGCUAUUAUAUCCUGGUGACUAGUCGUCGUGGUUGGGACUGAGGUGCCUACAACGUGCUUUCGAGUCUAUGGGACUCUCGUUUGGCUGUUUGCCUUUAUAGCUUGCUAUGUUGGUGGACGUGUUGGGCGAUUGAGAUCUGUAGUAACUUGUUGCUGUUCGGGACUUUGAA
rnacentral:rRNA from 2 species